UCCAAAAUAUCCCUCGCCUUAAAUUGAUGGUCGGAUUCAACAGGCUAGACAGACGUUAAUUUAUAAUAUCAAUGCUUAUAUACAACAGUAGUGUUAGUGUUUGAUGAGUCACGGGACUUACAUCCAUUAAUUUAACCGGCGAUUAGGAUCUUCCCACCUCUCCCAGUGAUAUCUCAGAUUAAAUCAGAAUACUCCCGUUGAUAAGGUCAUGGUGGGUUGUGUUUUUUAAGAUGAAAUUAUAAAGAGGUUAUGAUCUUAAUCAACCAAGUUUGGUAAUUUGAUCAAGGAGUUAUCGUUGUAAUCUACAAAUUGUUUGUAGUUUGAUUAAAGAGCUUUUUCAACAUAGGAAGUGCAAUUAUGCCCUUGAAGUGUUUGAGAAAAAGGCUAAGUAAAGAGUUCUGGGGUAAGGGAUGAAGAUAAGUUAAAUAACAACACGAAUCUUUCAUGAUUGAAGUCAAGCAUCCCCACGUUUCUGCGAAACAAAUUCGAAGAGUUCGAGAUACAAUAUAGAAAUAUAUGAAGGGGAGCUAAUCUGUUCCAACCUCUUUGCACUAUUUCUAAGUGAAUUUGAAGAUGCUGAAAUCUGCAGUGAUCAAGGGACUUAUGUAAAGACCCUCGAGCUCGUCAACGCUUUUAUACUAGUUAAGAAAUGUCUUAGCCGCUAAUUACUUGAUUAAUUUAACACGAAUGUUAAUGAAUAUGAAUUAAUCUAACAACAAUCUAGAUACGAAACUAGUACCGUUGGAUAGAUCCUGAAAAGUUGCGGAAUGAACUACUCGAAUGUGCCAAUCGGAUACCGGACGAAGAAGAUAUUUUUGGAUAAGUAUGAAGGGUAAAAUAGUAAUUUUUGUUUUAGAUCGACCUGGCUUCCCAUAUAAUCUGGCAGGGUUCCUUUAUCUUUUGUAGUUGGCCACUUGGCCUUAUCACCAAGACCGGAUCGAGCAGAUAAGCUCAUUCCUUCUUCUUCUUCUAUCUUCUUCUCUCCUCCGUUUCUUUUCUUCUCCUCUGCUCGAGUUUCUGUUAAUGGCGAUUGAUGCUGUUGAGAUGAUUGAUUGAUGAGGGAGAGAAGUUUAAGUACAAGGUGUUACUGAUGGAGAUGAAGCGGUAAUUUUCAAAGAGGAUAGUUGGAGAUUGAAAUAGUAACUCACAGAGAAUUGAAUUAGGGUUUCUGAGUUUUGGAUUGGGUGUAACUGCUGAUGAUGUUGAGUUGAUAAAGAUGGAAGAACACGAGGGUUGUGGAUGAAAUGUUGUAUUGAAGCUGCUCUGAAGUUGAUUUGAAGAUGAAUCAAUGAGUUAGGGUUUCUCAAGAUGAACUGGAAGUUCGAUUAGUGAUGAAUAAGAAGAUUUACGGACUGGGUUUAGUCGAUUGAGGAACAGGGUGAAGUUAAUUGGAUAUCUCAGAGUUUUUCAUGAACAAUUGAAGAAUUAGGGUUUGUAAGAAUAACUCAGGGAAGAUGUUAAAGACGAAAUUGAUGCUCCAGUGGAGUGAUUGAAGAUGGGUUUUGGCAGGAAUUUGAUAUAAGGUAAACUCUUGAUUCUAUGAACUGAAAACGAUAUGUUCUUUGAGUUUAUGAGUUGUUAUUGAAUAAGAAUUGGGAUUGGAUGAGUUUAGUUGAGCUAAUGGAGGUUCUGUGUGUGAUUGAAUUAGAUGUAUGUUAGGUAUUACACAGAGAAUGAAGGUUGCAGGAUUAGUAAAUUGAUGUGGUAUACUGGCAGUGUAAUUGAUAAUGAUGUUGUUAUAGCAAAGUUUCUAUGGCUGUGACUUUAAGUAGGUUAGAUGAAUGUUGUUGCAACUGUGAAGAUUGUGCUUAUGAAAUUUUGUAAUUGAGUUUGGUAGUGAUGAUUGUUGAGGUGAAUUAUGGGGAAGAAGAGGAGAUGGUAUUAUUGUUAAGUCUCUGAUGGACAGAAUCAGAUGUAAAUUUAGGAGAUUCAACUACAGAUGAUGUGAAGCUACAUCUGUAGCCAUUGGAAGUACGGAAGUAGUAAUUUGGUAAUGGGGUUUGUGAUAGAAAUGAAGUGAGUAAUUCCCUGUGAAGGUGUAUGUUAUGGUGGAUAGUUGCAACUGUGGAUUUCAGAUUUCUGAAUUGAAAUUGGAUUCAAGUUAUUGUGUUAGUGCUUAACUGGUUGUUUUGAGUUAUGAGUUAGACCUACAAGUGGCUGUAGUUGGUUUGGGUGAUGAGUAGAGUUGCAGUUGGUUUGGGUGAUGAGUAGAGUUGCAGUUGGUGGUUGCUUAAAAGCUUGUGACUACAAUUGUAGUUAGUCUAUAUUAACAACGAUCGAUUCAAAGGAUGAACCAGUGGAUCGUGGAUCUCGAGGUAGGCGUGGCUUGUCAUCAAAAGAGGCGUUGAAAGCUGCUUUUGGGAUUAUAACAUUGAGUAAUGGGGACAUUAAGAGGGCAUUUUUCUGCAAUGUGUCUACUUUUUAUGCUAAGCAGGAAAAACCAAUCUGAGCAUUGUCAAGGGUCCGUCUUUGCAGAUCAAAAAAAAAAACGUCAAGGGGAUAUGCGAUUGGUUUCUAACACAGGAAGCUAAAGCAGGUGAAAAACAAAUAACCAAAACACACUAGAGAAGCGAGAAUGAUUUCAAAAGCGGUACACUGACGCAAAGGAUGGAUUUUGACAGAUAGAAUUGAUCCUCAAAGGAUGGCAACUACACCGACUAGACAUCAACUGGGAAGGCGUAACCGGGAACGAAUGGAACAAGAACAGAGCGGUGCAAUUGGUGUUGUAUUGGCGUUCAACAUCCACAGAAGAGAACGUCUUCAAUAACCGGACUUUGGCCCAAAGGAGGCGUCGAGAACGCGAGGCAUUGGAGAAGCAGACGAUUAUUCCUACAAACAAUGAGAACAAGGACGGAGGAAGGCUUAAAGUCUAACUUUCGAAAGGACUCUCUGAGGAUUGCAGCUUAGAUGUACAACCUGUAAUUAAGUACAGGCAAAAUGGCGUUAUCUUUUAACACAUGGAAGUAGAGAGAAAAUCACUCAUUCAGAACACCACCAAGCUGGUUGGAGAUUUCUUCUCCUGAGGUUGCUGUUGGAAUCCACAAAGACAAUAUUGAUCCUGUUCCAAAUAUAUCUUCUUAUGUCACGGCGUUGGUUUGCCCAUGCUUUUCCUACUCUUUUCAAUGCAAGGACACCAAGGCCUCAAUUGAGUAGAGGCUUCCAUGUGUGCAUGAUAGAGGACAAUAUUGAAGGAAUAUACGACACUUUGAAGGAGUGUGCUGUUAUUAGUAAAUCUGCUGUAGGAAUUGGAGUUUCUGUACACGACAUCGAUGCCACUAGUCUUAGCUUUGAAGGAUCUUUCUCUGGAUGGAACACUGGCUCCUGAAAUUUGUAAUCUUUUGUACACGAAGUUGAUCUAGAUGUGCUCCGCGUUAACUGCUUACAGAGUGCUGAUUCUCAACAACUUAUUAAUUUCCUCUAUGAGUGCUGAUUCUGUAUAUGCUUUUCUGCUUCCCGGGCUACGCAAAUCAGAUAGUGUCACUGGGUAGGAGAAAGUUCAGCACAGAUUUUCAGACUGCUAAAGGCGUUGAUGUUCUUUGGAUUUAUAGUGACGCAUUGAUUGAUGAAUGGAGAAUACACAAGAAGCAAGUUAUGGCUUCAUGACCUUGCUGGAAGUGAGAGAUUAGCCAAGCCAGACGUUUAAGGAGAUCCGCUGAAAGAAACUCAAAUUAUUAACAGAUCCUUAUCUGCACUGGGAGGUGUGAUAGCAGCGCUGGCGACCAAAAUCCCACAUAUUCCUUUCAGGAAUUCAAAGCUCACUCACUUGCUCCAAGAUUCUCUAGGGUGACAAUUGCUUUCAAUAAAGCAACAACUUGUAACAUACAGAAGCAACUGUAAACUGGAGAAUGUGGACCAAGUUGAAGAAAAUCUCUUGCCAUGAGUCUCGAGUCCAACCAACCAUCUUCAGCAUCAGUUUUCAAUAGCUGGUUGUAUAUGAAUGAAUAGUUACUCUUUUGUACUUUAAUCAGCACCUAGUUGUUCCAUCUAUGGAAUAAAU